UGGGGGAUAUUGCACAAUGGGCGAAAGCCUGAUGCAGCGACGCCGCGUGGGGGAUGAAGGCUUUCGGGUUGUAAACCUCUUUCGCUAUCGAACAAGGCCCGCUUAGGGUGGGUUGAGGGUAGGUGGAGAAGAAACGCCGGCUAACUACGUGCCAGCAGCCGCGGUAAUACGUAGGGCGCGAGCGUUGUCCGGAAUUAUUGGGCGUAAAGGGCUUGUAGGCGGCUUGUUGCGCCUGCUGUGAAAACGCGGGGCUUAACUUCGCGCGUGCAGUGGGUACGGGCAGGCUUGAGUGUGGUAGGGGUGACUGGAAUUCCAGGUGUAGCGGUGGAAUGCGCAGAUAUCUGGAGGAACACCGAUGGCGAAGGCAGGUCACUGGGCCAUUACUGACGCUGAGGAGCGAAAGCAUGGGUAGCGAACAGG
rnacentral:rRNA from 1 species